CUUUUCAGCCAUCCAGAGCGUCCGAAAGUCGAAAAUCGGCGAAUGAUAGCAAAGAAGUUCGUGACGACAAAUACUAACAACGACUUGCAAGUGAUUAUCAGGACUGAUUACCUGUAUAGGUUCUGCCUACAGCAACUGCCAUGUGACACAACCAUGCCUUGAACGGAGAGGCUUAAACCGGCGACAACCGACAGUAGCUUUAAACACACACGCUUCCUCUAUAUCUCGUAGCCUGUGAAUUUCACCAAAGUCGGGAAAAUCCACGUACUCUUAUCCUGAAGCUGUACAUGAGCCCACAUCAUCUGCCGGACUCAUAGACUGUCGGAAUAUAGGUCCA